rnacentral:rRNA from 1 species
AUUGAACGCUGGCGGCAGGCCUAACACAUGCAAGUCGAGCGGAUGAGUGGAGCUUGCUCCAUGAUUCAGCGGCGGACGGGUGAGUAAUGCCUAGGAAUCUGCCUGGUAAUGGGGGACAACGUUUCGAAAGGAACGCUAAUACCGCAUACGGCCUACGGGAGAAAGUGGGGGAUCUUCGGAACUCACGCUAUCAGAUGAGCCUAGGUCGGAUUAGCUAGUUGGUGAGGUAAAGGCUCACCAAGGCGACGAUCCGUAACUGGGCUGGGAGGAUGAUCAGUCACACUGGAACUGAGACACGGUCCAGACUCCGACGGGAGGCAGCAGUGGGGAAUAUUGGACAAUGGGCGAAAGCCUGAUCCAGCCAUGCCGCGUGUGUGAAGAAGGUCUUCGGAUUGUAAAGCACUUUAAGUUGGGAGGAAGGGCAGUAAGUUAAUACCUGGCUGUUUUGACGUUACCAACAGAAUAAGCACCGGCUAACUUCGUGCCAGCCGCCGCGGUAAUAC